AACCACAGAUAUUGUUAAAAUUGUAUUAUAGAUAUUAUAAAAAUAAGUAUUUUUCCCAGUAGUAUAUAUGGUAGUAGAUUUUAUACUGUAAAUAAAAUGAUCAAGCCCUUUUGCAGGUGAUUUUUUUAACAGUACAUUGUUAGUGGAUUAUUAGAAACUGAUUGAAAAAUAUACACUCAGUACUUACUAAGGGUGGAGAGAGUAUCUCAAGUUUCUCAUAAAAAAUAGAGCAAGUCUUUUUUUGCAACAUGGUUCUGAAGCCUCAUUAUGCAACAUUUUUCCAUUAGAAGAAAGAACUGUAUUUUUAAAGUGCUGUGUUGAGCCCCUUUCCAUACAAGAGCUGGUACUGCAUAGCAGUUGAGAUAAUGGAGCAAGGCUACCUCUAUUCACAUCUCAGUUUUACUAUUUAUUACCAACAUACGCUUAGGCAUAUUAAUUGUAUUUGUCUCAGUUUAUUCAUCUAUAAUAUUGGUAUCAUCAUUACUAGCUAUCACAUAGUGCUAUAGGUAGGAUUAUGCCAAUCAUAGAAAGUCCUACAUACACUCUUAAUAAAAACAAUCAAAAUAUAUGUUCUCAUAGCACUCUAUGCAUGCUUUUAUUUUGCACUUUUCACAAUACGUUAUAUCAAUUUGUUUUUGAGAUCUUUAAGGGCACAAUUUCUUUCUCUUUGUUCUGCAAAUAAUGCAGUUCUUAGGAUAUCACAGGGUCUACACAUUCAAUUCUGAUUUAGCAAGUAUAUCUUAAGUGCUUGCUAUGCUCCAGACCCUCACUAUAUAUACUCUGUUUCACACUGAGGAUAAAAAUGACCCUUCUCUCAUGUUGCUUGACGUGUAACAGAAGGUGACAAACAAAUGGGUUCAUUCACUGUAUUAGCAUGAAUACUGUAUUAGGGAAGUAUGCAUUGUUCUGGGAAUAUAAAGGAGGUGCAUCCAACUAGAUCUGGGCUGGAGGAUGACUAGUGUAUUUCUGGGGCUUUAGGAGCAAGUCUUUAGCAGUCUGUGAAGAGACUUUAAAGGCCAAGAGGAUUAGGACUAAGGAAAAACAGUUGGGCUAGACACUGCUGGAAGGAGAUGUGACUGCAAUGGAAAGCAGAGACUAAAGUCUGCUUUUUACCCCAUGGCACAUUGAAAUGCAUUCCAAAGACAAUACACUUUGCUCUAAUUAAAACAUGGAAUUAUUUUUCUUCCUGAAGCAUUAUCACAGCCAUUGUGAUAUCUGCAACUUUUGCAGCUGAUGAACACUCCGAAGGAAAUGCUUAUAUUAGGUUAGAAGAUGUGAUUCUGAAAACUCCCCAAAUCUGAGAUAAACUCUCCCAGCCUAAAGGAACAUGUACAUCCUGGAUCCUGUAAUUAGAUGUGAGCUCAGUGCUUCCUCGUUCAAAAACACCUGAUAGCAGUGAAUCUCUCAUAACAUUCCAUGAAGAAGACUUCUAAGACUCACCUCACUCAAUAAUGACAUAAAAAUGAUUUGUAUGCAAUGUACACUACCCAAAAUAUUAAUCUGAGAAACUUACUUGUGCUGAUACGAUCAGACUUGCUGCUUUUGGGGGCUGGCCUUUCACACUGUGUGCCUGACCAGUUGGCGGAGCAUCUAAAAAUAUCCAAACAACAACAAAAUAGAUCAGUGAAUAACAAAGCCCACAAGUCUGCUAAUGUAGUAAUUUUAAUCAAAUGAAAUGUUAUAGGAGCCAGGCAUUACAAAUUGAUGAAAUUAGGUAGGAAUUUCUGCUAAUUUCUUGCAUAUUUUGAGUAUGCUGCGUGUAACUUUCAUUGGACUUUGUUAAAAUACUUUUUAAAAUUUAAGUUUAUAGUUAUUUUACUUAUUCUGCAUUAAACUUAAAAUUGACAUAUUUCAUAGCAGUAUUAAAAUCUUGAUGAAUUGGAACUUAAUUUGAGAGAUAUGGAAAAUUACAAGUGGCCACUUACAAAAAUUGAGUUUGCAUAUUAAACAAAUCCUUCUGUAAGUUUUUGUGAUUUGUUUUUCUGGUUGUUCUAAGUCCAAAGUGGAACUAACUACCAAAAGGCCAAUAGUCGUCUGUCUCCUAGUUCAAGCUGUAGAGUUUUUACUCUCUUCACCAGAGAUAACAAAAUGCAGUGCUUUCCCAUUUUAAAUCGCACUUCUAUUAAUAUGAAGUCAAGAGAAUGUGCCCAAAUUUUUGUUGGGAGGAGUUGUUUUCCCAUAUAAGUACUAUGACAGUAUGAUAAGAAGUAGCAGAAGACAAGAAUAAUAGAUCUGAUUAAAAGUUAUGAUUUCAACAGAAAUUGCAACUAUGAAAUUAGCUAGUUGCAUCAAAAUAAAUGCUGGAACAGUUUUAGUUGUGUUUAAACAAUGUCUAUUGGCUAACAUAAGAUGCCUCUGUGCAUCUGUCACAGGAAAUCCACAGAGAAACAAUUUAAUUGGCUUCAGUUCAUAGUUAAAAUGACUGUCAAAUACCACUAUAUCAAGAAUAGUGUACACAAUAAAAAAACAGCUUCCAGAACCAUUCUAAGUGAACCUCUCUGAGCAUGGUGGGCCAAACUAAAUAACUGCAAUUUCAAUGUCUCUGCCAAUUCUUGGAUAGCCAAUUUUGAUAUCUGAGGAUUCUUCAGGAACUGAGCUUCUAUGAUGCCACACAAAUUAUUUGUGAUAGUGAUAAAAACAGUAUUGGCUGUCCUAAAUCAUGGGCAAAUUCUCACAAAAUCAUUAUUACUGACAAAGUCAAAUAAUAAACAUAAAAAUAUGUUUCAAAUAAACAUAUAUAAACUUGAACAUAAAUUGGCAAUGAGGUUACUGUUAGAUAAAAGAGUUAUUUAGUUAAUAAUGAUAAAUUUAAAACUAUGAUUAUGGAGCAUGAUUUAAAUGAAAAUUAAUAAAUUAUUAAUAUUAUAAAUCAGGUCAUGACUCGUGCAUUAGCCCAAUUUUUUGUUGUUACGUUAUAAAAAGCUUAAACAUUAUAUGAUUUUCUAUACAUCAUGUUUAUUAUAAACCAUAAUGCAAGUAAAUUAUUAACAUAGAUAAAUACAUUUAAGGCUAAGUCUACAACACUGUAUACUAAAGUGAAGUAAUAAAAUGAGCACAUUUUCAAAUUAUUAGAAUAAAGUGAACAACAAAUGAAA